rnacentral:rRNA from 1 species
AAUGAACGUUGGCGGCGUGGAUUAGGCAUGCAAGUCGAGCGAGAACCCCGCAGGGGGGGACAGCGGCGAAAGGGACAGUAAUGUGUAGAUUAUCUGCCCUCAGGUCCGGGAUAGCUGCGGGAAACUGCAGGUAAUACCGGAUAACAUCUCCGGAUCAAAGGUGUGAUUACGCCUGAGGAUGAGUCUGCAUCCUAUUAGCUAGUUGGUGGGGUAAUGGCCUACCAAGGCAUUGAUGGGUAGCAGGUGUGAGAGCACGACCUGCGUCAUUGGGACUGAGACACUGCCCAGACACCUACGGGUGGCUGCAGUCGAGAAUCUUCGGCAAUGGGCGCAAGCCUGACCGAGCGACGCCGCGUGUGGGAUGAAGGCCUUCGGGUUGUAAACCACUGUCAGAGGGGAUGAAAUGCAGGUGGGUUCUCCCAUCUGUUUGACAUAGCCUCAGAGGAAGGACGGGCUAAGUUCGUG